UAUUCAGACACGUUGUCUACGUAGCUACGUAAGUUUCUACGUAAGAUGCUCGGUACUUGGUCCUGGACCAGGGAGCUACUCCAUCAUGGCUCCUACGAGUACCAUCGCGCGGCCGGCUGGCCGCAUGCCUGUGCAUUGCAGACUUUUUGUUGUUGCCUUUUCGGAUGUGCAUGCACGAGGAACUUCCUUCUUUGGAACUGCUUCUUGACCUGUUUCGGAUAUUUCGUCUCCUGGCCUGGCUUAUUUCGUUUCGGCGCUGCUGAGACCUCCUUUCGCGGAAUAUUACUCAAUGACAGUGUGCGAAGAACGCGAGUUCACCUUCUUGACGAAAAUCGUGGACUAACAGUUUGAAGUAAUUGAACUACUUCCAAAAGUUGUAUCGACAUCAACAGGAUUACGAUUUCAGUGCAAUAUGAUGCUGGAUGACCUUAUCACGAUAACCCAUGAUUAUAAACCAUUAUAAACACAGAAUCAACAAAAACAUCUGCGACACGCACCUGGCGCAUGGCUACAUUUCUCAAAUAAAUCUGAUCGAGGGUGGGGAAAUCUGAAAUAUCUGAAAGGCAAGACAAAUUUAUGACGAGUCAUGAAAUUCUGCAACAGCAACAUGCACAGAAUGACCUCCGUAUAAAAAAGUAUC